AUUCUCAAUUGUUUACGAGUGACUUUACUCAUGAAAAGGGGCUCUUGCGUAUUGUAGAGAGGAGGCUCUUGCCAAUGGAAGAGAAUGACUUUUGCCCAUUGCAGAGAGGGAUUUUUGCCUAAGAAAAAAGAGGCUUUUGUAAUUAAGAAAAUAACACCUGCCUAUUGCAGUCGGAGAGAUUUUGACCUAAUAUGGAAAAAAAUAAAAAGGCUACUGCCUAUUAAGUUGAAGACACUUUUGUGAUGCAAUAGUUAAAGUUUGAGUUAUGUCUAGAGAAGAUUGAAGGAGACUAACUAAUAUAUUUACCAUGAACAGUUUAGUUUGUAAUCUUUUAGAUGUAAUUAAAAUGAUGAGCAGUAUAGUUUAGAAUUUGU
rnacentral:misc_RNA from 1 species